UACGGGAGGCAGCAGUGGGGAAUUUUGGACAAUGGGCGAAAGCCUGAUCCAGCAAUGCCGCGUGUGUGAAGAAGGCCUUCGGGUUGUAAAGCACUUUUGUCCGGAAAGAAAACCUCCGCCCUAAUAUGGUGGGGGGAUGACGGUACCGGAAGAAUAAGCACCGGCUAACUACGUGCCAGCAGCCGCGGUAAUACGUAGGGUGCAAGCGUUAAUCGGAAUUACUGGGCGUAAAGCGUGCGCAGGCGGUCCGCUAAGACAGAUGUGAAAUCCCCGGGCUUAACCUGGGAACUGCAUUUGUGACUGGCGGGCUAGAGUAUGGCAGAGGGGGGUAGAAUUCCACGUGUAGCAGUGAAAUGCGUAGAGAUGUGGAGGAAUACCGAUGGCGAAGGCAGCCCCCUGGGCCAAUACUGACGCUCAUGCACGAAAGCGUGGGGAGCAAACAGGAUUAGAUACCCUGGUAGUCCACGCCCUAAACGAUGUCAACUAGUUGUCGGGUCUUCAUUGACUUGGUAACGUAGCUAACGCGUGAAGUUGACCGCCUGGGGAGUACGGUCGCAAGAUUAAAACUCAAAGGAAUUGACGGGGACCCGCACAAGCGGUGGAUGAUGUGGAUUAAUUCGAUGCAACGCGAAAAACCUUACCUACCCUUGACAUGUAUGGAACCUGGCUGAGAGGUCAGGGUGCCCGAAAGGGAGCCAUAACACAGGUGCUGCAUGGC
rnacentral:rRNA from 1 species